GAUCCUGGCUUAGGAUGAACGCUAGCUACAGGCUUAACACAUGCAAGUCGAGGGGCAGCAUUGGAGUAGCAAUACUUCAGAUGGCGACCGGCGCACGGGUGAGUAACACGUAUCCAACCUGCCGCUUACUCGGGGAUAGCCUUUCGAAAGAAAGAUUAAUACCCGAUGGUAUAAAGAGUUCGCAUGUUCUCUUUAUUAAAGAAUUUCGGUAAGCGAUGGGGAUGCGUUCCAUUAGAUAGUUGGCGGGGUAACGGCCCACCAAGUCUACGAUGGAUAGGGGUUCUGAGAGGAAGGUCCCCCACAUUGGAACUGAGACACGGUCCAAACUCCUACGGGAGGCAGCAGUGAGGAAUAUUGGUCAAUGGACGAGAGUCUGAACCAGCCAAAAGUAGCGUGAAGGAUGACUGCCCUAUGGGUUGUAAACUUCUUUUAUAAGGGAAUAAAGUGAGGGACGUGUCCCUUUUUGUAUGUACCUUAUGAAUAAGGAUCGGCUAACUCCGUGCCAGCCGCCGC
rnacentral:rRNA from 1 species